GGCGGCGUGCUUAACACAUGCAAGUCGAACGGUGACCCAGGGCUUGCCCUGGUGAUCAGUGGCGAACGGGUGAGUAACACGUGGGCAACCUGCCCCUGACUUCGGGAUAACUCCUCGAAAGAGGAGCUAAUACCGGAUACGACCACUUCGGACAUCCGAUGGUGGUGGAAAGUUUUUCGGUCAGGGAUGGGCCCGCGGCCUAUCAGCUAGUUGGUGGGGUAAUGGCCUACCAAGGCGACGACGGGUAGCCGGCCUGAGAGGGCGACCGGCCACACUGGGACUGAGACACGGCCCAGACUCCUACGGGAGGCAGCAGUGGGGAAUAUUGCGCAAUGGGCGAAAGCCUGACGCAGCGACGCCGCGUGAGGGAUGAAGGCCUUCGGGUUGUAAACCUCUUUCAGCAGGGACGAAGCGAAAGUGACGGUACCUGCAGAAGAAGCACCGGCUAACUACGUG
rnacentral:rRNA from 1 species